rnacentral:rRNA from 1 species
UGAGAGUCCCGCUCGCCACCUGCAGCCCCCCGUGCACGGUGUACGUUCCAAGAGUCACGUUCCUCGGGAUUGGAGCGCAAAGUGGGUGGUAAAUUUCAUCUAAAGCUAAAUAUCAGUUCGAAACCGAUAGCAAACAAGUACCAUGAGGGAAAGAUGAAAAGGACUUUGAAAAGAGAGUUAAAAGUGCCUGAAAUUGCUGAAAGGGAAGCGAAUGGAACCAGUGCGUCUGUGCGAGAUUGUUGUGAGCUAAAGUGAUGGGGAGCAGCGGCAACGCAAGUGCUGCUGUUUUCUGUGAUCUGGUCGCCUGCGGUGAUUCUUGCCUUGUGCGUCAAUGUCUGUUUCCCAGCGAGGAAGACUCCCAUGAUCACGGCAGUCCACCUCCGGGUGGAUGAAUGUCUUGGGUGGAACCCGCUGGGACACUGAGGAUGUCUGUGUCUGGUUGCAGUGGUCGGUGCGUCUUGACACCUUGCGAAGUGGAAAGCGACCGUCCAUCUCCCUCACACAACAAACUUUGACCAAAUGGUUCCCUUCGACCCGUCUUGAAACACGGACCAAGGAGUCUAACAUAUGUGCGAGUUCACGGGCAACAAACCUGCUUGCGAAAUGAAAGUGACUGCUGGGAUGCUGCACCAGCAACCGACCAAUCNAUUGAGAGAGGUUUGAGUAUGAGCAUA